UGCAAGUCGAACGCCCCGCAAGGGGAGUGGCAGACGGGUGAGUAACGCGUGGGAACAUACCCUUUCCUGCGGAAUAGCUCCGGGAAACUGGAAUUAAUACCGCAUACGCCCUACGGGGGAAAGAUUUAUCGGGGAAGGAUUGGCCCGCGUUGGAUUAGCUAGUUGGUGGGGUAAAGGCCUACCAAGGCGACGAUCCAUAGCUGGUCUGAGAGGAUGAUCAGCCACAUUGGGACUGAGACACGGCCCAAACUCCUACGGGAGGCAGCAGUGGGGAAUAUUGGACAAUGGGCGCAAGCCUGAUCCAGCCAUGCCGCGUGAGUGAUGAAGGCCUUAGGGUUGUAAAGCUCUUUCACCGAUGAAGAUAAUGACGGUAGUCGGAGAAGAAGCCCCGGCUAACUUCGUGCCAGCAGCCGCGGUAAUACGAAGGGGGCUAGCG
rnacentral:rRNA from 2 species